rnacentral:snoRNA from 1 species
CCUCCAUUUCUUGGCAUGCACGUGGUUUAAGUACUCGUGUAUGUAAUGUACGGAGGAAAAGUGAGUGCAGCGUUAUGUCUUCGGUGCCGGUGUGUGUUAUUGUCUGCCGGUUCUAUCCUCAAACGCUGUUACAUUG